GCUAUAUACACACCACAACCAAACAUGUCUCCGGAAGAGGUGUUUGUGGAGGACAGUGGUCGGCAGCCAGAGAGACCUCCCAAAAAUCAGCCGGCAAGCUGGAUGAGGAGGGACUAGAGCUUGCCGUCUGUCGACAUGGAGUGCUCCUCUGUGCUCUCAAUAUGUACAGGGGAGAAAUCUUUGCUUAUCCCCUGUACCUACAGAAAAAGCUGGCCAGUAGUAUGUUAUUUUGCAUGGAUGUGACCUGCAAAUAUUGGCCCUACCUCCAGAGAAUCACAAAAAGCUGUCCAGAGCUCCAGCAUCUUCUCGACAUGAAGCCCUUUCUCUCAGUGUUUCAUGCCAAAGCGCAUGACUUCAAAUGUGAAGUGAAAUGGAGUGGGGCAUAUCAAGAGGGGGCUGGACUAACCCUAGGGGAGGAGGUGGAACAGGUCAAUGCCUUCCUCUCUCGGAUAGCAGUGACCACAAAACACAUGUCAAAAGCAGGACGUACAGACAUGCUGACGCUGAUGGCCAUGCGCUGGAAUCAGCAAAAAGUCAGCAACUUGGCCACCUCACUGUCAGAUAUC